GCCAUCCCGAGGCUCCUCAAGUUGGAUAAGAUCGACCCCGAGCCCCCGGAUCAAACCCUAGCCCCGAGAUUCCCCUCUCACACUCACGCUUCUCCUAUGAACCUCGUGUCCAAGCUGUCGUCGACGCGCCGUCACCGUCCCCGUGUCUACUGGCCUCCCCGGCGACCGGGAGUUCGUCCAGGGACUUCCUCGUCAUCGACUCCAUCAUCCCCGUGAAUCCGUUCAACCAGAGCCGCACCGUACGGAUGGAUCGAGCCGUCUUCCCCGGCACGGCCGCCGCCGUUCGUCGUCAGAUUUGUCGCCUCCUGAGCUCCCCUGACCUCCUAACCUCGUCCAUGAGCAUCACGGUGAGGCCCUCGUCCGAUUCCCCUACUUUUCCCCUCGACCCGCCGCCAUAGCCAUCACCUUGAGUUUGCCUUGGUCCGUACCGAAGCCAUGGCCGCGCUCAUCACGAGCUCCCACCCCCCCGACCGUGCCUCGCCACUGGACGUGGCCAAGCCACGCUAGUCCGUGCCCCGCCGUGCGCGUCGCUCCCUAGCGGUGCCCAGGUGCGCCAUCGCAGCCGCCCUCGGCCCUGCAGUUGCUCUGCUGCUGCUGUCGUGAACGUGUUGCUCCUGCCGCCCACUCUUGCCCAUGGCCACGCCCGCUUGCUCCUCGCGCGCGGACGUCUGCCCGGGUCGUGUCCCCUGCCCUGCUAGCUACUGCACUGCUCUUUGUGCUGCUGUCGCCGCCGACUGCGGCCUUGCUUCCUACCGCGCUGCUGAGCUGCUCCAAACGCUGCUGCUGCCUCAUACUGCUAUCACUGAUUGCUACUGGUGCUUGCUGAGCCACUGUGCACUCCCAUUCAUGCAUGCCCAGCCAUGCAUCGCUGGCUACCUACUGCCGGACGGGGCUUGCCUGCUCUCGUCGCCUGCUCCCAUCCCUGCUCCCCUUCGCUAAUUCUUCAUCUAACGGCAGGCGCUAUUUUCCUUCCCCGUGCGUCUUUUCUGGCAAAAAAGAAAUCACGAAGCUCCUGUAUUUCCGUUUGCCUGAAUACGUAUUCACUCCUCUACCUCUUUCCCUGCCGACAGUCGACCGUGGGGAGUGGAGGCAUCGAGUGGAUCGGUUACCUCCCCAAGGCGUUGUCGCGGCUUCCGGCGGGACGUCCGUCGGCGUCCACUGCCUUGUCUCACCGUAGUCCACAGUUAUGGCGCCGCGCUCGUCCCAGAUUUCGGCUUCUCCCGCCGCAAGACCGGCUCCUGCUCUUGAUUCGUCCUCGUGCAAGGGCUAGGUCAUGGAAUUGCCUGUGAUGCGGGCAGCCAUGGUGGAGCUCGGGUCGGGAUAGUGGAGGUGGUGGUGGCUGUUGUGCCUCCACUGAAGACCACGGGCGAUGGCAGGGCAGAGGCCGUGGCGAACGACGAGGGCGGCCACCAUCCAGCGGGUCUUCGUGGGCCCGACACCGGCCAUGCGGCUGCCGACCUAGCCUACUAGCGCCAUGGUCAGUACGGCAACUCACCCUCGCUCCCUUCCAUCCUCCUCUCUACUGUUUUGUGUAGAAUACAGAUGUCUCUUGGUUUCUUUUCCCUUCAGUUCAGAUCCGAGCAAGUCAACAGCUACCUAGUACCAAUUAAGCACACAUGCACAUCGGGGCCUUGCAAAUUAAUUUGUUCCAUACAGUGAUUCUUUAAAAGCUCAAAUUAUGUGAGUGCAAAAUUAUAUACCGAAAUUAGUUUCUAAAUGUCCUGGAUACCUAUUUAGCUCAGUUUUAGUUGAUAAUUCCUUUCUAUCAUUGUUUUGCUGCGUAAUGAAGGUGCUCAAUUAUAUAUAUUUUUAAAGAUGUUUAAUUUUUGAGGCAACAAAAUACAUAGUUCAAACACAGUGGAUUCGGACAUGGGAAUCUCUUGCGUUGCACAAAAUGCUGAUGGUGUCGUUUACUGGUUGAAAAUAAACUGAAAGUUAAUUAGCUACUGAUGGUGAUAUUUGCAUACAGGAUGAUGCCAGAAAGACGGUUCAACUAAGUGAACAAACUACUCCUUAGAUCGAUGCAUGCAAAGUCAUUGGUUUGGCUCAUCCUCAUCCAGGUGACAAUGGUGCUCCAUUACCAUAGUGAUCGACUAAUGGUCUGUUUGUCAGGUUAGACAAACUAAUCUAUGAUGUUGGUAAUAGUACAGUUUGUACCUGAUGCUAACCAAGCCUAUUAAUACAAGACAGAUAAGACUAUUUUUAUAUUUAUCACAUUCACAAAUUGCUUAUUCAGUCAAUUGCUGAUUGAUAUAGGUAGUCUCCUUCAAUCCAUGGUCGUAUACUCAUAGGUUCUAAUAGAAUUGCACAGAAGUACAUGAAAUAAAAAUCUAUAACAUUGAUUAAGCUGGCUUUUGUUGUUGGGAGAAUUGUAGAUUUUGUCUUGGGAUCAUCGUCGGGGUUGAGGUACCAACGAU
rnacentral:lncRNA from 1 species